rnacentral:lncRNA from 1 species
CAAUCAACUUCCAUGUACAUAUUUUUUUUGCAUUUAGAAAAUCUUAUGGUCUAAUAAAUAUCUUUAUGUCCUAUAUAAAAAAAACAUAUAACCAACAUUACCAGGGAUGUCAACGGGUCGGAUUCAGGGCGGAUUUUUAAAAAUCCGAAUCCGAACCCGAAUCCGACGGAUCUUAAAAAUUCAUAUCCAAAUCCGAACUCGGCCAAAAAUUUGAAAUCCAAACCCAAACCCGAAAACUCGAACCCGAAUCCGAAACAAAUUCGAAUCCGGCCAAAAAUCCGAAACCCGAUUCUAAACCCGAAAAUCCUAACCUGAAAAUAAUAUUUACCAAAAUUCGAAACAUAUAUUAUACAAAAAAUUAAAAUUUCAAAAUAUAUAUUCAAAUACAAAACUAAAAAACUAAACUUAAAAACAAAUAUUACAUGCAGUGAAAAAAU